AUUGCACGCUGGCGGCAGGCCUAACACAUGCAAGUCGAACGAGUGGCGGACGGGUGAGUAAUGUCUGGGAAACUGCCUGAUGGAGGGGGAUAACUACUGUAAACGGUAGCUAAUACCGCAUACCAUCAGAUGUGCCCAGAGGGGAUGAGCUAGUUGUUGGGGUCACGGCUCACCAAGGCGACGCUCCCUAGCUGGUAUGAGAGGAUAACAGGACGCACUGGGACGGAGACGAAGUCCAGACUACUACGGGCGGCAGCAGUAAGGAGUAUUGCACGAUGGGCGGAAGCCUGAUGCAGCCAUGCCGCGUGUAUGAAGAAGGCCUUCGGGUUGUAAAGUACUUUCAGCGGGGAGGCGUUACCCGCAGAAGAAGCACCGGCUAACUCCGUGCCAGCAGCCGCGGUAAUAC
rnacentral:rRNA from 1 species